AUCGCCUUCAGUGAUGUCAUUCAGUGGCUCUGCUGCAUUGUGGGUAAUGUAGGCGCCUGUAGAAGAAGAACUCAUGGAAUAAAAGAGGUGAGAUCUCUGGUUCUGAGUCAUCCAUUUUGGUGAAUUUCUUUUGCGUGUGUGUCCAUAAUGAGUCCACCAGUGUUAUAGGAGGGCCUACAUUACCCACAAUGCAACGGACACCACUGGAGAUUAAAUGCUGUUUCCUCUGGAGCCACAAAAGACUUUAUACUCCUUUUUCACACAUGCAGUUGUAUUCCCUGAGUCAUGUAAACACACUUUAAGAUAUUAAAAUGGUGGAGUUGCCCUUUAAAUGUUUACUUUAAUUUAACUGUUGUUUGUUAAUCUUUCAGCUUGCUCACUCAGCCCAUCAUUUUCUUCAAACUACACCCGAACAUGAACAUCUUCUGAUUGUACCUUGUCCUGGCCAGUAUGAGCCUCAGAGUGACACUCCUGUAUAUCAGGCUGUGACGCCACACGCAGAGGAAGCCAAAUAUCCAGAGAUAAUAAAUGCUCUGACGUCACGCGUCCUCAGGGCACGGAGGCUGGAGUGGGACGGGACAGUUUGCACCAGUCGGUGACUCAGGCUUUCAUCCGUCUCCUCCCCUUCCAGGAGACGCACCGUGUCCCCCAUUAACCAACGGGUGAAUCCAGGUACGUAACGCAUUAGAUAUGUGUGUGCGGAAUACAUAAUGUGUCACCUUCCUCUUAACAGCUGUAAAGUGGACGGACACAGUUUCAUGUGAGCUUGCACUAAUUAUAUACUGAAGUAGCCAAUCCAGCUCAACAUAUCCAGUGUGAACGUCCCAGCAUAGAUGAGACUUGACCUCUGUCCAUUUGUAUUAAGUCUCUGCUGCAGAUUUCAGCUCGUCCAAUUGAAAGACAGGCAGUUAUUUUGAGUCAUGUGACUCAUAAGGUAGCCUGAUUCAUACGUCCACACGGAUACAGAUUAAUAAAUUCAGAAUAUGUUUUGAGAGGGUUGAACGAUGUGAUCCUCCUCGUUGUUGGCAGUUUUGGCAGUUUCUAUCUUUUGCAUGUGAACUUGAACUAAAAGAAGUGAAAUACUUUGAUUUAUAAGUUCACUGUCAUGCCUUUAGACCUACCCUUUUUAAGUAACACCAGGUUAUUUCCCAGAGUUAAGACGCAACAAUGAAAUUAUUGACAGUAACAGAUUUGGAUGUGCCUUUUUGAUGAAGUGGUUCGUAUCGACGCACCUCUGAUGUUGUAAACUGUUGAUAUUCUGCUGUUUAAGCUGUUGUUUUUUUUAAAAGUUAGAGCUUAGUUUGAACCAGGACACAUAAAAUCAGAACGAUUACAGCUGUUAAGUUGCUUUGCUGAAAGACUGAACAAUAUUUGAUUUAUUUUGAUAGAUGAUAGGGUUGGUAGUUUGUCCAUUUAAUCUUCUCUGAAAAAAUUAUAAAUUCAGUUGUGAUUUUUACUGUACUCUGUAUGAAAUGAGUUCAUUCCCUUACAUAUGGAAACAAUGUUUUGUAGGCUGGUGCGUCUCUUCUGCUCCACAAAGUUUAAUUUAUGAUGGUAUGUUGUGACACUUUUUACCUUUAUUAACAUGGCUCCUGGAUAUUGUACCUACCCGUAUUAUGAUUUAAUAUUUUGAUCAAUCUUUAAGCCAUACUUACUGGAUACUUUAAUCUUUUGUUAUUUUAUAAUUGUAUGAUAAGUACUGGUAUCUGUUGAAUUCUUACACCUUUUUCAGUCACUUUUCAAGCAUUUUCAGAAUUCUUCCAGCAACUUGUAUCUUUGGUGAAUUACAUAUGAAAAUAAUUAUUAUUUUACAUAUUCACAUUAAAUCAAAUGUUAUUGUGCUGUGAGCAGCCAGAAUAAUGUUUCAUAAAGGCACCACAUACGGUUGAUGGAUUGAGGGAUGUGCAUGUUUUAAAAUGUGCCACCUGUCUGUAGGAAGACUUGUCAUCCUAUAUAACAUGGCUGAGACAAUAUAAAACAAAUAUUAUGAUAGUUAAGCUGUUAGUUUCAUGCAGAAGUGUUUUCAAGGACUUAAAGCACUCGUACAAAUCCUGUAAAAUACGCUGAGGAUCCACAAAAAUGCAAAAGAAAGAACAACUUUUCUGCUUUUAUUUGAAAUGUGAAUUUACACAGGGAAACUGAAUGUCAUGUUUGUGGUUAUAAAAAAAAGUUCAAUAACAAAAACUUUCACACAAAAGGUGUGGUUGGUAUGUCUUUUUGCAACAUUCGUUGUAGCUUCCCACUGAAUCUGAGCUCAGACAGAGGCACCUCUCUCUUUAAUAAAUAGUUUCAUUUACAGGAUGAGUAGUUAGAUAUAAAUAUGAAGGCGCAUUUAAAACUUUUUUUAAAAGCAAUUAUAAAUGUAUUGAUUCAAUUACAAAAAAAAAACAAAAAACAAAAAGGCAAGCAAAUCAACCAAGCAGAGAUGCACGAUGGCAAAGAAUAUUGGCAAAAGCAGAAAUUGGCACAAAAUGAUAAACGAACAAACAAAGCAAGAUGUUCAAACUCAAGUGAAACUUUAAAUUAUAGGCACUAGUUUCAUAACACCCACCACACCAAUGAUCAGAACAACUUCCCUAACACUGGCACACUGAUUCUUUUCAUAGCACAAGAGGUAAAAGCCAGCAAAACUUAUUCAUCUUGACAUCUUUUUCAAGACA